GAUGAAGAACGUAGCGAAAUGCGAUAAGUAAUGUGAAUUGCAGAAUUCAGUGAAUCAUCGAAUCUUUGAACGCACCUUGCGCUCCUUGGUAUUCCGAGGAGCAUGCCUGUUUGAGUGUCAUUAAUAUAUCAACCUUCUCUUUUUUGAGUUGUUUGGAUGUGGGGGUUUGCUGGCCUCUUAAAUGAUUCAGCUCCCCUGAAAUGCAUUAGCAGAACAACCUGUUCAUUGGCGUGAUAAUUAUCUAUGCUAUUGAAUGUGAGGGCAGUUCAGCUUUCUAACCGUCCUUGGACAAUUCAUCAUUAAUGUGACCUCAAAUCAGGUAGGACUACCCGCUGAACUUAAGCAUAUCGAUAAGCGGAGGA
rnacentral:misc_RNA from 1 species